rnacentral:rRNA from 1 species
GACGAACGCUGGCGGUGUGCUUCACACAUGCAAGUCGAACGAGGUAGCAAUACCUAGUGGCGGACGGGUGAGUAACGCGUGGGAAUCUGCCCAAGGGUGGGGGAUAACUAGCCGAAAGGUUAGCUAAUACCGCAUAUGCCGUGAGGUAAAAGGAGUAAUCCGCCCCUGGAUGAGCCUGCGUCCGAUUAGCUAGUUGGUAAGGUAAAGGCUUACCAAGGCUACGAUCGGUAGCUGGUCUGAGAGGAUGAUCAGCCACAAUGGGACUGAGACACGGCCCAUACUCCUACGGGAGGCAGCAGUGGGGAAUUUUACGCAAUGGGGGGAAACCCUGACGUAGCGACACCGCGUGAGCGAAGAAGCCCUUUGGGGUGUAAAGCUCUGUCAGCAGGAACGAAAAAAAUGACGGUACCUGCAGAGGAAGCAUCGGCUAACUACGUGCCAGCAGCCGCGGUAAU